GAAUUAGACUGAUUAUUUCAAAAGAUCUGUAUUUGGGGCUAGAGGUGUAUACCUCUUUUGACCUAUCAGGCUCGUUCUAACAACAGGCUAUUCCAGGGUGGACAGAGGAGGGGAGAAAUUGGCUGCAUUGAAAGCCCACUUGAUCAUAGGGCAGUCUCAGGCACUGUAGUCAUCUAAAAAUGCCAAGCAUGUAUAUUUGACCAAUGGGAAUUAAUCCAAUUAUAUAUUUUAACGUGCACUGACACAAAGUAAGUUAGUUCCAAAAACAGUUUGAAACGUUGAAACCAUAAGUAAUGUAUGUCCGUUUUUUGUUUUUGAAAUACCCCGUUAUACUUUGCUCAUUGUGAACACUUGGGGGUGACAUAAGAAAGUGUUGUUGCAGUGCGUAAACUCACAAUAGGGUUCUUAUGACAAGUGCAGCUGUCUUUUGUUCACCAAGACAAGGUCACUCUUCUAUGCAUUGUAACAGCUACUGAAGUAUUAAACUCGACCUCAUCUUGUUGACGUGGCAUAGUUUCUUUCCCUUUGUCCUUGAUGACAAAAAUAACCCUGUGAAAUUGUUCUUUGGGUGUACAGUUUAUGAAGAGCCCAUAAUUCAAUUAAUUUAAGCCACAAAUGGAGCAAAGUAUGAAAAUGUAUGAACUCACUACUGUAAGUCGUUCUGGAUGAGAGCGUCUGAUAAAAUGUAAACUGCCUAAAUAAAGGAAAGGCCAACAUAGGAGCGUUGGGCCACAACAACCUGCCAGAACAUAGAUUCUACAAGUCUCUGGAACACUAUUGGAGGGAUGCGACACCAUUUCUUCCAGGACAAAUUACAUAAUUUGGUGUUUAGUUGACGGUAGUGAUAAACUCUGUCUCAGGCGCUGCUCCAGAAUCUCACAUAAGUGUUCAGUUGGGUUGAGAUCUGGUGACUGAGACACACACAACCUUUAAACCCCCUAUGCUCCUUUGAGACCCCUCUUUCAAAGUCACUGACAUGUUUUCUUCUAGCCAUGGAAGUAAAAAAAAAAAUGGGCAACUGGGCAUUUUUAUACAUGACCCUAAGCAUGAUAGGGUUUUAAUUGCUUAACUAACUUAGGAAACACACCUAUGUGGAAGCACCUGCUUUCAAUAUACUUUGUAUCCUUCAUUUGUUCAAGUGUUUCCUUUAUUUUGGCAGUUAGAUGUACAUGUCACUUUCAAGAAACUCAUGCUAGUUUUAACAAGGGGGACUCAAAAUGUAAAAAUGUUUUAAAUAACUUGUGUAAGGUGCUGACUAAUCAAGUUAGAAACGUCUGUGUAGAGUAGUAUGUAAGGUGCUGACUAAUCAAGUUAGAAACGUCUGUGUAGAGUAGUAUGUAAGGUGUUGACCCAAGGGACAUAAUAAGGUCUUAGAUUUGUAGUAACGUGCUGUUAAAGGUCAAGAUGGCUGUCAGUGCAUUAGUGUGAAGCUGUCUACAAGUUGUCUAUGAGGUGAUAAUACUAUAUAAGUGGUUGUCAUCACCAGAGAGUUUCCCUCCUUAGACCUCUUCAGGAGCACCUUUGACUCCUACAAUUUCACACCUUGGGCAUUCAGCCUUGAGGUUCUUUACUCUACUUCCACAUGCUACUCCUCAAUGACACUGUUAGGUGUCCAAUUCCCAGCUGUCGGGAAAUUAAUUCCUGUCACUACAGGAGGGAACACAUACUGAUCAUGACAAAACAGUCCGUUUUUACCCUAAAACCAUAUCAGUGGAUGGUUAAAAACAAAUGAUAUUCUCUCUCUCUGGAAGAUGGAUUUCAAAAGAAGCAACGUAUUGUAUGCCAAUACUAUCACUAUUCUUUACCAUGAGGAGAAUGUAACACCCUGCAACCCAUCAGCUAAUACAUUUAUUUAUUUUCUUAUUUUUUACCCCCUUUUUCUCCCCAAUUUCGUGGUAUCCAGUUGUUAGUAGUUACUAUCUUGUCUCAUCGCUACAAAUCCCAUACGGGCUCGGGAGAGACGAAGGUUGAAAGUCAUGCGUCUUCCGAUACACAACCCAACCAAGCCGCACUGCUUCUUAACACAGGGCACAUCCAACCCGGAAGCCAGCCGCACCAAUGUGUCGGAGGAAACACCGUGCCCCUAGCGACCUGGUCAGCGUGCACUGUGCCCGGCCCGCCAUAGGAGUCGCUAUGGUGGGCCGGAUAUCCCUACUGGCCUAACCCGGACGACGCUAGGCCAAUUGUGCGUCACCCGGCUGCGACAAAGCCUGGGCUCGAACCCAGAGUCUCUGGUGGCACACAGCUAAUACAUUUCAAGCCUAUAAAAUUGACCAUGACCCACAACCCUCAAAUGUUUGAAUUAAGCAGUUAGCCCCAAGGAGGUGUGGUAUAUUGGCCAUAUACCGCAAACCCCUGAGGUGUCUUAUUGCUAUUAUUAACUGGUUACCAACAUAAUUAGAACAGUAAACAAGUAAUUUUGUGUCAUACACGUGGUAUAUUUAAGCAAAAAAGGCCCAGGGGGUGUGUAGUAUAUGGAUAAUAUACCAUAGCUAAGGGCUGUUCUUACGCAGUGCCAUGGUAUAUUGGCCAUAUACUACAAGAUCCUUAUGGCUAUUAUAAACUGGUUACCAAUGUAAUCAGCACUAAAAUCAGUAAAAAUACAUGUUUUGUCAAACAUGUAGUAUACAUUCUAAUAUACCACGACUGUCAGCCAGUCAGCAUUCAGGGCUCGAACCACCCAGUUUAUAAUGUCUAAUAUACCAUGGCCUUCAGCAUCUAGGACCCAAACUACCUGGUUUAUAAUAUAAAAUAUAUUCAAUUUAACAGACGCUUUUAUCUACAGCGACUCAAUGUGCUUAUGCUCCCGGGAAUCUAAUCACCCAUUCUGGUGUUGCAAGUGCCAUGCUCUACCAACUGAGCAACAAAGGACCACACUCUCAUCAAGCUCCUUACUUAGUCUCAAUACUUGAGCAGUCUAUUCUAGGCUCAACCUUUCUUUAUACGUCCUCAUUCUCAGCUGUCCAGUCUUCUCGUGUUAUCAACACUGUUCUCUCUGUCAGAUAGAAGGAAUGAUGGCUGGACACCUUACCACUGUUCUGCUGUGUAACCUGAUUCUCCUUUGCAUUUCAAGGACUGCACUAUCUUUAGGAUGUCCAUGCAUCUGUUGUGACACAAAGGUCGUUGAAAACUCACGCAACUCACAUCUCAGUGUUUGUCUUUGUCCUUGGCAUUGCUGUUAACGCUCUGAUGCUAUUGGGCUUGUGCUAUUCCCAUACUGUAGAUGUUGUAACAGAACAAGCUCAUCGAAAUGUGUUGCACUAUAAACGUAACUGAUUGUUGGUUUUAGAAUGAUUUUGAAAGCUGAGUUUAAAGUGGUUGCAAGAAAGGUUGUUGUUUGUCACUUGCAUUUCUGUGUAAACCCAAUACAAUGGUGAACCUCCUUGUACAGUAAAGUAGCUAUCUACAUUUCUUCAUUGACUGGCAAAUUGUUUACUCUGUCACCUCGCAGAUAUUGAAUAUUAGACAGUUUUGCCGAAUUUUGUCACACUUAGUUUUUUAUUUGUGGGGUAACUGAAGACUCCCUUUGGAACUGCUGGCUGUUUUAAAGUGUUGUACUACAGUAUGGCUUACUAACAAUUAACAGGAUAACAGACGUGUCCUGUUUGGACUCAGGCAGUUACGGUGUAGUAUUAACCUUAUUUGUAUCAGAUGUAGAAGGUGUUUCUUACAACCUUCAUUUUAAACUCAGCUUUCAAAAUCAUUCUAAAACCAACAAUCAGUUACAUUUAUAGUGCAACACAUUUUGAUGACAGUUUGUUCUGUUAAAGCAUCUACAGUAUGGGAUGGGACUCUCCUCCAUGUGACUCACAGAUGCAGGUCCAGCCUCUUGCAUUGGGAGACCUCCUGUCAGGGACUCCAAACAUGACCACACACAAGAGAUGCUAAUUCAUUUUGCUUUCAAGUUCCUUCUACAUCUGUACAUCAGCUCAUUUCAAGUUCCUUCUACAUCUGUACAUCAGCUCAUUUCAAGUUCCUUCUACAUCUGUACAUCAGCUCAUUUCAAGUUCCUUCUACAUCUGUACAUCAGUUCAUUUCAAGUUCCUUCUACAUCUGUACAUCAGUUCAUUUCAAGUUCCUUCUACAUCUGUACAUCAGUUCAUUUCAAGUUCCUUCUACAUCUGUACAUCAGCUCAUUUCAAGUUCCUUCUACAUCUGUACAUCAGCUCAUUUCAAGUUCCUUCUACAUCUGUACAUCAGUUCAUUUCAAGUUCCUUCUACAUCUGUACAUCAGUUCAUUUCAAGUUCCUUCUACAUCUGUACAUCAGCUCAUUUCUAAAUAUUCUAUCUGAUUGUUGUCUCCAUGUCUUCUAAACUUUAGAUUGGGCCCUUAUAAAUGUACUUUUUGUAACCGAAUACAGUUCAGGUACCGUUAACAGUUUUUAAUGGGUCGGCCUCUAAGUAGCCUAUGUAAAACAAGUGCUCUUGUUUAGAUUUUUUUUAUUUAUUAAAAAAAAUGUAUUACUUUUUAUUUUCUUACUUUAUCCAUGCAUUUCUCCAUAUAAUUUGUAGGUUUUUCUCUGUUCAAGCUGUUGCACUACUUUGCUCAUUUAUAUUUGCUGUAAGACUUUCCUCUAUCAAUAGUUAUUCUGUUUGAUAUACUGUAUGCAUUCAUUAUCAUUUUUAAAAAUAUAUUAUUUUGUAUUUAACUAGGCAAGUCGGUUAAGAACAAAUUAUUAUUUACAAUGAUGGCCUACACUGGCCAAACCCGGACAACACUGGACCAAUUGUGAACCGCACUAUGGGACUCCCAAUCACAGCCGGUUGUGAUACAGCUUGGAUUGGAACCAGGGUGUCUGUAGUGACGCCUCUAGCACUGAGAUGCAGUGUCUUCAACCACGGGAUUAGUUGACCUGAAAGGUCUUUAAGUGAAGUUAGCACUGUACUCUGGAACCUGUCGUGUUGUAGGGUCUGGGCCUUCAAAGACCAGAACUGACUAGCCAUGGCUUUAAUAAAAAUACAUGUAUUGUACAAGA